CUGCCAUGACCCGUACAUGCAUUUCAGGACUGAUUAAAAGGGCCAAGAUUCACAGUUUAAAAAUCCUGCCCUAAAAGCUUUCUGUUUGUUCUGUGACUUUACUUGCUGGCCACAUAGAUAGUGACAUCAUCCAAAUUUACAUCUCCACCAGAGUGACACACUUUACUUUUGCUCAUACUUCGUUGACCAAAGCAAGCCACAUGGCCAUUCUAACUUCAAACGGACCCACUCAACUUCUCCAAGUGGGUGUCUGAAAGGACACUUGAUUGUAUUACGUGAGUUUUCAGACACAUUCAGAGCGAGAGCUAUGCUUUGGAAGCCAGCUACAGAGUCCCUGGUAGUGAAACCCUAGAUGAUGAACUGAGACCAAGAAAAGACCCACUAAAGAUCAAAAAUUGCAGAGAACAAUAUUUCAAGAGGUACGUCUUGGACAUAAACACUGGAACCAUCAGAGAAGCUUCUACAAAACACAGAUGCCUGGGACCUGUACUUAUCAACUGUCACUUUUAAUUGGCCAGGGGUGAGCCUUAAACAAGACCAGUAUUUUGUAAAAACUGCCCGACGUGAUGGUAAUUUGCAGCUAGGAUUGGAACACUCUGGUAUUACACAACAGACUUCAGGACUUUAUGAACUUUCAAACUACCCUUUACAAAUUGAAGUGGAACCAUAUGGCAGUAGCUCCUGCCAGAAAGCAGCCAGUGACAAGAAGAAUCUUGAUUGAUAUGCAUUAAAAAAAAUGCUGGGAAAAAAGGAAG
rnacentral:lncRNA from 10 species